rnacentral:rRNA from 1 species
GGUUAAGUUAGAAAGGGCGCACGGUGGAUGCCUUGGCACUAGGAGCCGAUGAAGGACGGGACGAACACCGAUAUGCUUCGGGGAGCUGUAAGCAAGCUUUGAUCCGGAGAUUUCCGAAUGGGGAAACCCACCACUCGUAAUGGAGUGGUAUCCAUAUCUGAAUACAUAGGAUAUGAGAAGGCAGACCCGGGGAACUGAAACAUCUAAGUACCCGGAGGAAGAGAAAGCAAAUGCGAUUCCCUGAGUAGCGGCGAGCGAAACGGGACCAGCCCAAACCAAGAGGCUUGCCUCUUGGGGUUGUAGGACACUCUGUACGGAGUUACAAAGGAACGAGGUAGAUGAAGAGGUCUGGAAAGGCCCGCCAUAGGAGGUAACAGCCCUGUAGUCAAAACUUCGUUCUCUCCUGAGUGGAUCCUGAGUACGGCGGAACACGUGAAAUUCCGUCGGAAUCCGGGAGGACCAUCUCCCAAGGCUAAAUACUCCCUAGUGACCGAUAGUGAACCAGUACCGUGAGGGAAAGGUGAAAAGCACCCCGGAAGGGGAGUGAAAGAGAUCCUGAAACCGUGUGCCUACAAGUAGUCAGAGCCCGUUAACGGGUGAUGGCGUGCCUUUUGUAGAAUGAACCGGCGAGUUACGAUCCCGUGCAA